rnacentral:lncRNA from 1 species
AUUUCAGUUUAUGUAAUAUGUUUUGAAUUAUAGAUUAGUAGAGUUUCCAAAUUUAUGUGACGAUUUGAUUCGUGGGGAUGUUGAUUUCUGCCUGUUGCAUGAUUAAUUGCCUAAGUGAUGGGUUUUUUGAAAUGGGGUGUCAAUUGUUUACUUUGUUUAUAUUGGAGUGAAUUUAUAGUUAGUUGCAAUGUACUUGAUAAGAUAUGACCAACUAUAAUGAAUUUGGCUGAUUGGUAGCUGUUUAUGGCUUAAUCUGGUGUCUUUGAAUCAUGCCCAAAGCAAUGUGCUUAUUGCUUCUAAUAUUCACAACACCACAUCAGUAGGAUUUAUUAGUCUUGUUAUUUACUAGUGUUAAAGCACUGUAAAAUUACAAGCACUCUAAUAUUCUCUGCAUUUUGCUAAAUGCAUAGCCCAGACUAUGAAUUGUUGGCGCAGGGUGACCCUCAUAUAUAGUUGUUGUCACUGGGGUAAAUAUUGAUUUCACUGAAAAUGAUAACAGAUCAUAUUUAUUUAUUUCGCUAUUUUUAAGCAUUUUUACGUGAAUCGACAAUCUGAAUUUAAUUUUGCAACACUGGCUUGUUUCAAAGAGCUUUAAUUUGAUUUUUGCUUUUAUACAUGUGCAGUGCCAUUUUGAAUAUAUAUUUUAAUGUCGUUAAAGUAAUUACCUAGAGAAUGUCAAGCUUGAAUCGUGGAAUGACAUUUCACCCGGAUGAGAAGUCUAAAUUUUUUGCAUUGUAAUUGAGAACCACAGUUAGAUAGUGGAAAUGAUAUGAAGUAUGUAUAUCAGUAUAUGAUAGAUAUGAUUUGGUUGAAACUUAAAAGCCCUUUUAUUUGUUAAUGUGCAGACCUUGCUUACACGAAGGUGCUUGAAAAAUAUGAUGUAUAUAGCUUCAGAGAUGUAGCUCUAGAAAUCAUGAACGGAAAGCAUCCAUAUCACUUCUAUGAACAUCCUCAUUUGAUCAAGGGGAAUUUUGUUUGAAAGAUUUGUUGGACCAAAGGCUUCUCUCUCCCAUAGGUCAAUUGGCAGAAAAUUGUUUCUUGAUGGAUAGAGCCAUAAGAAAUUAAGGCAAUUGUGUGGGCUUGGCUUACAAUGGACAUCGACGGCUUAAGGGAAAGAAGUAAGCACAACUUCAGAGAUUUUCUGACAAGGUGGAUGGAGAUGUUAGACCCAAAUGAUUGCCCACGGCACACCCAAGUGCACUUGAAUGGAAGGCGUGGGUAUGCUAUAUAGUUUGGGUGACGGGGAUUGCACCUAGCCGAGGAGGGUUGAAAAGCUUCAGACCAUAUGUAUGGAACUGUUUGUAUGAUUGUGAUUUAUGAAAGUUUAAUAAAGUAAUUUUAUUUAACAAAAACGAAAAAAAGAUAAUUGUUUGUAGACUUUGUAAUUGAGAAGAACUGAGUUGGAUAUUACAAUAAACAUUGGUAGUUGAUGCAGUUAGCGA